rnacentral:rRNA from 1 species
UACGGAGGAUGCGAGCGUUAUCCGGAUUUAUUGGGCUUAAAGGGUGCGUAGGCGGAACAAUAAGUCAGUGGUGAAAGACUGCAGCUUAACUGUAGACUUGCCGUUGAUACUGUUGAUCUUGAGUAUGGUCAAGGCAGGCGGAAUGUGUAAUGUAGCGGUGAAAUGCUUAGAUAUUACACAGAACACCGAUUGCGAAGGCAGCUUGCUGGGCCAUUACUGACGCUGAUGCACGAAAGCGUGGGGAU